UGGGGGAUAUUGCGCAAUGGGGGAAACCCUGACGCAGCAACGCCGCGUGAAGGAAGAAGGCCUUCGGGUUGUAAACUUUUGUCUUUUGGGAAGAAGAAUGACGGUACCAAAGGAGGAAGCCACGGCUAACUACGUGCCAGCAGCCGCGGUAAUACGUAGGUGGCGAGCGUUGUCCGGAAUUACUGGGUGUAAAGGGCGUGUAGGCGGGUAGAUAAGUCAGAUGUGAAAUACCGGGGCUCAACCCCGGGGCUGCAUUUGAAACUGUCAAUCUUGAGUGCCGGAGAGGAAAGCGGAAUUCCUAGU
rnacentral:rRNA from 1 species